rnacentral:rRNA from 1 species
GACAGAGGUGGCUAGCGUUGUCCGGAUUUACUGGGCGUAAAGGGCGUGUAGGUGGUCCUAUCAGUCGACCGUGAAAGGCGUCGGCUCAACCGAAGCAGUGCGGUCGAUACUGUAGGGCUGGAGCGUGAGAGAGGAAAGUGGAAUUCCCGGUGUAGCAGUGAAAUGCGUAGAUAUCGGGAAGAACACCAAUGGCGAAAGCGACUUUCUGGCUCAUUGCUGACACUGAGGCGCGAAAGCCAGGGGAGCAAACGGG